rnacentral:lncRNA from 1 species
UCUUUAACCAAGAGUAUGGGUAGGAGGGGAGUGAGAGUUCUCUUCAAUUGUUGGAAGAGAAAGUCUUAGGCUAUAAAAAUGAGAUGAGUGGUGGUGAGGGGUGUGUGUGUCAUCGGUUUCAUUCAGGAAGUGAAGAGUUGAUAGAUUAAGUGAGUAUAAAUGAGAGGUUGAGAGCUUGGAGGGAGUUACAUGAAAAUGGGCGGUAAGGGAAUGGUUAGGUGUGUGGUAGAAAAAGAGCAAGAAAGGUGGUAUUUGGAGUACAUGCUUUAAUGGAAAAGAGUGAAGGAGGAUGAAGUUGGUGCCUUGUACCCAUUGUAUACCCGUUUACAAUACAAUUUGAAAAAUACACAUGCAUACCAAUGUAUACCCAUUACAACAAAUUUUCAAAAAAAAAAAAAAAAGGAACAUAGACAACCAUUCUUCAUACCAUCACACGUGAGCUUAACACAAAAAG